UACGUAGGGGGCAAGCGUUGUCCGGAUUUAUUGGGCGUAAAGCGAGCGCAGGCGGUUUCUUAAGUCUGAUGUGAAAUCCCCCGGCUCAACCUGGGAGGGUCAUUGGAAACUGGGAGACUUGAGUGCAGAAGAGGAGAGUGGAAUUCCAUGUGUAGCGGUGAAAUGCGUAGAUAUAUGGAGGAACACCAGUGGCGAAGGCUGCUCUCUGGUCUGUAACUGACGCUGAGGCGCGAAAGCGUGGCGAGCGUAAAGG
rnacentral:misc_RNA from 1 species